rnacentral:hammerhead_ribozyme from 1 species
AUCCAGCUGACGAUUCUCAAAUAGGAUGAAACACGCGUCCUGGAU